AGAAUGAACGCUGGCGGCGUGCUUAACACAUGCAAGUCGAGCGAGGCCAGGGGGGCAACUCCCUGAGUCGAGCGGCGGACGGGUGAGUAACACGUGGGUAACCUACCCGGAAGUGGGGAAUACCUCGGGGAAACUCGAGCUAAUACCGCAUAACAUCUUCGGGACGAAAGUCCUGACGAUCAAAGCGGGUCGCAAGAUCUCGCGCUACCGGAUGGGCCCGCGCCCGAUUAGCUAGUUGGUGAGGUAAUGGCUCACCAAGGCGACGAUC
rnacentral:rRNA from 1 species